UGCAUUCGUUUGUGGCUGUGUUUCCGCAGGUAGCACCGACGUGUGCGCCACGGAGGUAGCAACGACACAGCGGUCACACAUCCUCCGCCAUGCGGUGCUUGCGCCGCUGCUGGGGCCCCUGGCCAUCAGCGCCCUCCUCGUGCUGGCGGCUGUGGUCGCUGGAUGCCGUCAUGAGCGCGCCACAGGCGUCGGUGGAGGGGCUGCUGGUUCAGGUGCGACAGCAGGCAGCAACGUCGCCAGUCUGGAGUGUCGACUUCAGUGCGUUGCUCGAGCGCUGCUUCACCGUCGGGUGCCACUCCCCUCAAUCGCGGGCGCAACUCAUGGGCCGCGUGGCCGCCACCCUCGCCACCGUAUUGAGUGCCAGUGAGGCGCCUUCUGUGACGGCGCUCAGCGUUACACUGCCCACACCAGAGGCGGCCAUAACGGUGAUGCAGCUAUGCCAAAACACUCCCCUUCUCGCCUCCCUAGAGUCAUUGGAACUCGUGGUGGACGUGGCAGCCGUGCGCAGCCGGCAGGAGGGCAUGGAAGGCACGGGUGGGCACGAGGUGGCGUCGCUGCUGCGGGAGCUGGCCGCGCAUCAGCGGCGCAGAGCUGGUCAGUCUCACUGGACGUCACUCAGCGUCCGGUCGCGCGACACAAGUGCGCCCGGCGUCUUCACCGUGGGCUUGCACGCGCAACCACAGCACCACGUCGUGCCGCGGCUGUGGGACGACGUCAUGGUAAGUGCCUUGGCGGAGCUCGUGGCAGCAGCGCCGUGGGCUCGGGUGGCGUUUUGUCAUGCUGACCUCACCCCUAGCAGUUACCGGGCUCGUCAACGGCUUUGGGCAUCGUUCGACAGCGUUCACGCAUCGCUCGCCGUACUGGACUUGACUGGAGUGCGGCACGCUCACGAGCUCGUUGCUUCCCGGCAGCUGCGCCACCUAACCCGUCUCUCCUCCCUCGAUGUCGGCCACACGCAGCUCGAGGAGGACGCCGUGCAAUGCUUGUUGAGGGACGUGCAGGAUGGCGUCGGUGGGUGGUGGCUGCUGCAGCAUCUGGGCUUGGCGCAGUGCGAGGUGAGCGAGGCCGUCGUAACGCUCCUACACGAUCAACACGAGCAGCACGCGAGAAACAAGGUGCCGUUGCUGGAGUCUUUCAGCGUGUCAGGCGCCCGCCUGUCGUGUCGGGCCGCCUUCGUCAUGGCAAUGUGUCUGAUGCAGUGCACGCGACUGCGACUCCUUCAGACGCGUAACUGCCACCUUCAACCCGCCUCUCUCGAGAGCAUGGCAGCGGCCCUGCGGCACGCCCCAGGGCUGCAAGCAUGGGUUCUGUGCCUCAACAAGUUCGGCGACGAAGGAGUCGCGGCGCUCACCAAGCACGCGCGGUGCUGGCCCUCACUCACAGAUAUGGAUCUCUCGCGGUGCCGGCUAACCUGUGCAAGCGUCCACACCCUCAGCCGCGCGCUUCCCCACUGGAGCAAGCUGCAGUCGUUGCGGCUGGUGGGCAACGACUUGCGGUGGCAGUCACCGCAGACACUGUCUUCGGCGUCGUCGAGCAGAGUGGAAGGCAGCGAGAACGGGAGGGAAACGGCUGGCCUCUUCGCCUACGACCCAGCCUACAUGAAGGGCCACGGCAGCAGUGUGAAGGUGCCCACCUCCUACGAGCUCGAGCGGCGUGAUCGGAAGGAGGGCCGCCAGCGCUACAAGGGAACGGAAGAGUUCACCGAGGCGGCGGCGCCGAUCGCUCCGCCGCUAGAGGUGCUUGGCGAAGCGCUUUCCAUGUGCUCGCAGCUGCGGGUGCUGGACUUGAGCGACAGCGCCAUGGCGGACGCGCAGCUUGUGCAGCUCGUCACCCACUUCACUGGGGCUGCGCUGGAGGAGUUGCGACUGGCUGCCAACCCUCUCUUCGCCACUGUGCCAGCGCUUGACGCACUGAUCAAGCUGCUGUGGCGCACGCCCAGCCUCUCCGUGUUGGACCUGUCCUUCACCGGACUCGGCGACCUAGGCGUAUCGAUGAUGUGCGACGGGACUGCUGGAAGAGACGGCGGUGUGCUCAAGUCCAUGUCUAGGUUGCACACGCUGCUACUGUCUGGCUGCGCCGUCGAGUCGCUUGGUUGGGAGUCACUGGCAGCGGCGGUGAGUCAGCUCACGUCGCUACGCCACCUUGCCCUGCACCACAAUCGCGUGUCCAAAGUGGCACUGCUCGAGGAGCUGUUGUGCCAACUCGUCACGGUGUCCUCCCUUCAGUCCGUGAACCUAGCGGGGUGUGUGGACUCUACCGAGUCGGUGCGCCGCCUGCAAGACGGUGCGGUAUGCCGCGCCCUCCGCGACCGCGGAGUGCAAGUGCUCCUCUGACGCUGCCGACGAAAAGGGCGUAUGCACCGUGGCGAGGGGCGAGGAGCUGGUGGUGCUUGUGAGAGGAACGCUCUCUGCUGACUCACUCGUGCGUCACGCAAGGCAACGUGGCGCGCUAAGCACGAGCGUGUGCCUUGGAGGAGACGUAGAAGCGCUCAGAAAUACAGCUUUAGACACUGGCACGCUCCCAUCGAUGGCGGGGGCAACGUGGCCGAACGAAACGGUCGGCGGAGUGGCAAGCAGCGGUGUGCACACGUAUGCUCUGCAUGUGAGUGCGCGCGCGUAAGCCCGCCAUGCGUGCUUGCGUUCUUGCGUGCAUCGCAGCUCUCCUGCCCUCCGCCUUCUCCUCUCUCUUCAUUAUUCAUCAGUAUGGUAUGCAAACACCCGCCGCUUCCGACACGCGCGCACUCCGCCUCGUCCUCGCUUUCCCUCUUACGCCAUCACCAACACCGCUACAUGGUGCUCUGGAUACCACGUUCUUGUGCAUGGCCACGUGUGCGCACAUGCGUGGGUGGCUGGGCGUGGAUAGAUGGCGAUGGGCUCCUCCGCUUAUGAGGCUCCGCUGAGAGAAAUCUGUGUGUGUGUGUGUGUGUGUGUGUGUGCAGGCUCCCUCCCCUCCCCCUCUUCCACUAUCAGUCCGUGCGUCCUCUUCUGCUUUGUGGCACCUGUGUGGCACGUCUUUGUGGCGACGAUCGUGAUAGUCGUUGGCCUGUGCCUGUGCCGGUGGAUCUCCGAGUGGCACACAACUCUGUUCUGUAAGGCGCCUUUAUUGAGGCCUCGUGAAGGUGGUAGGUGGGGGGCGCUCUCGAGGCACACACACACACACGCACACGCACAUGUGGGCGCACCGCUGACGUGUUCCUCUCCCUCUUUUCUUCGCCUCCGCCGCGCGUGUGUACGUGUGCGUGCCUCUCUCUCACUGUCGACAGCUACGUAGCACGUAAG
rnacentral:misc_RNA from 1 species